rnacentral:lncRNA from 1 species
UCAAAUUCAAUCUCAUCCUGAACUUCUGCUUCCAUUGGUUGAGGCGAAGGGUUUCUAACUCUCUUUUUGCGCCUUUCCUUCCUAAGCUGAGCGAUAGGAAUGUCCUCUUGAUCAUCGGUAUUAAUUACAUGUUUAGCCCUCGACAUAUUUCUAAAAACAAAAUGCAUAUUUAUCACAAGGAAGAAGACAUGCUUGAUGAGAAUUCAAAAUUCCAAAAACAACAAACAAAACGAUACGGAUUCUAAUGCUCCACUUAUU